AUCACUCACACAAACCACUCUGCUGGAGGUUACUGCCCUCCCAGUUCUGCUGGCAAAAGGGACUUUGAUCCUAUCCAUAGCAAGUACUAAGACAAGGAAGAGGCAGAAAAAGACUGAAGAGAAACAUGCCGUUGUCAUUGCAAGAUUUGUUCAGCUUUUCUACUAGAAAGUACAGCUGAAUGAUGUGUAUCCAGUUACAUGAUAAGUUCAUCUCCACACACACAAAGGAGCGCGGUGGAAAAAUGGCAUGUGGGGAAAGCCAAAUAAUACCCUCACCCAGCUGUUCCCAGGCCUAUCAUGGGAGAGUGAUAAACCCAUAAAAAAGGUUAUCUUCACAAACAUGAAAGAGCAAGGAGGAACAAUAACUUGCAGAGGAAACCUCUCAAACAAGCUGGAGAAAUGCACAUCCUGCACUUGCCCUCCCUUGGCCACCUCAGGGGACUGUCAGUUCCAGUGUUAAGCUGUGACACCCAUCAGAUGAGUCAAGGGGAGCAAAUCUAUGAUUUGCA